GCCCAAGUAGCUCAGUGGCAGAGCACUUCCAUGGUAAGGAAGGGUCGUGGGUUCAAUCCCCACCUUGGGCUCCA
rnacentral:tRNA from 1 species